UACGUAGGGAGCAAGCGUUGUCCGGAAUCAUUGGGCGUAAAGCGCACGUAGGCGGCUUACUAAGUCAGGGGUGAAAUCCUGGAGCUCAACUCCAGAACUGCCUUUGAUACUGGUGAGCUUGAGUCCGGAAGAGGUGAGUGGAACUGCGAGUGUAGAGGUGAAAUUCGUAGAUAUUCGCAAGAACACCAGUGGCGAAGGCGGCUCACUGGUCCGGUACUGACGCUGAGGUGCGAAAGCGUGGGGAGCAAACAGG
rnacentral:rRNA from 1 species